rnacentral:sRNA from 1 species
AUGGCUGUCGUCAGCUCGUGUCGUGAGAUGUUGGGUUAAGUCCCGCAACGAGCGCAACCCCUACCCUUAAUUGCCAUCGGGUUAUGCCGGGCACUUUAGGGGGACUGCCGGUGACAAGCCGGAGGAGGGUGGGGAUGACGUCAAGUCCUCAUGGCCUUUAUGACCAGGGCUACACACGUGUUACAAUGGGAGUUACAGAGGGAAGCUAAGCCGUGAGGCCAUGCCAAUCCCAGAAAAACUUUCUCAGUUCGGAUCGCAGUCUGCAACUCGACUGCGUGAAGCUGGAAUCGCUAGUAAUCGCGGAUCAGCACGCCGCGGUGAAUACGUUCCCGGGCCUUGUACACACCGCCCGUCACACCAUGGGAGCUGACAAGGGCAGAAGUCGCCGAGCUAACCUUCGGGAAGCAGGCGCCCAAGCUGUUGUUGACGACUGGGGUGAAGUCGUAACAAGGUAGCCGUAGGAGAACCUGCGGCUGGAUCACCUCCUUUCUAAGGACGCCGGAGAUGCUUUAUGCUUAUCUCCGGAUAGUCAAAGUCGAAACAGACUCUCUUCUCUUCUCUCCCUUUUCUCCUGUAAAUGCUAAGUUAUGAAUUUAGAGCAACGAAUGAAUUGAAUUCGUUACUGUGGACUCCUAAUUUCAAGAGGGGCCUGUAGCUCAGCUUGGUUAGAGCGCAUCCCUGAUAAGGAUGAGGCCGGUGGUUCAAGUCCACCCAGGCCCACCAGGUUCAGUGGGGGAUUAGCUCAGCUGGUAGAGCGCCUGCUUUGCAAGCAGGAGGUCAGCGGUUCGACCCCGCUAUCCUCCACCAAAUUAAUGAACAGUAAAAAAAGGUGGUACAGCUUAAGCAGAAGAUAAGCUUCAGCAAUUAUUUAAUAAUUUCUGAAUUUUAUUUUUUAAUAUCUUAGACAAUUGAAUCGGAGGUUUUGGAGACACAAGAUCAAAUGUGAGGGUCUCCAAGGGUUGACGAUCUUGACUGUUAAAGUCAGGUAGUAAGGGCGCAGGGCGGAUGCCUUGGCUCUGGGAAGCGAAGAAGGACGUGGCCAGCUGCGAUAAGCCUCGGGGAAGAGCAAACAUCUUUUGAUCCGGGGAUUUCCGAAUGGGGAAACCCGG